rnacentral:rRNA from 1 species
AUUGAACGCUGGCGGCGUGCUUAACACAUGCAAGUCGAACGGUAAGGCCCUUCGGGGUACACGAGUGGCGAACGGGUGAGUAACACGUGGGUGAUCUGCCCUGCACUUCGGGAUAAGCCUGGGAAACUGGGUCUAAUACCGGAUAGGACUCCUGGCUUCAUGGUUGGGGGUGGAAAGCUUUUGCGGUGUGGGAUGGGCCCGCGGCCUAUCAGCUUGUUGGUGGGGUAAUGGCCUACCAAGGCGACGACGGGUAGCCGGCCUGAGAGGGUGACCGGUCACACUGGGACUGAGAUACGGCCCAGACUCCUACGGGAGGCAGCAGUGGGGAAUAUUGCACAAUGGGCGCAAGCCUGAUGCAGCGACGCCGCGUGAGGGAUGACGGCCUUCGGGUUGUAAACCUCUUUCAGCUAUGACGAAGCGCAAGUGACGGUAGUAGCAGAAGAAGGACCGGCCAACUACGCGCCAGCCGCCGCAGUAA